AUCGCAUGGUCUUCUGGGAAAGCUUUCGCGGUAUGGGAUGGGGUCGCGUCCUAUCAGCUUGACGGCGGGGUAACGGCCCACCGUGGCUUCGACGGGUAGCCGGCCUGAGAGGGCGACCGGCCACAUUGGGACUGAGAUACGGCCCAGACUCCUACGGGAGGCAGCAGUGGGGAAUAUUGCACAAUGGGCGCAAGCCUGAUGCAGCGACGCCGCGUGAGGGAUGGAGGCCUUCGGGUUGUAAACCUCUUUUAUCGGGGAGCAAGCGAGAGUGAGUUUACCCGUUGAAUAAGCACCGGCUAACUACGUGCCAGCAGCCGCGGUAAUACGUAGGGUGCAAGCGUUAUCCGGAAUUAUUGGGCGUAAAGGGCUCGUAGGCGGUUCGUCGCGUCCGGUGUGAAAGUCCAUCGCUUAACGGUGGAUCCGCGCCGGGUAC
rnacentral:rRNA from 1 species